CAGGCGUCUAAGGCAAGUCCCCCACUACAUCGCUUUACUGAUGAGUCUACUAGUAGUGUGGGACCAAGACGAAACGCCUC
rnacentral:hammerhead_ribozyme from 15 species